rnacentral:lncRNA from 1 species
CACUGAGCUAAAUCCCCAGCUCCCCCCACUAUUAAAUUUUUAAUGUAUUUCUUUUGUGGGUUGUUGGUAUCUCCUAGUAGACCACAAAACUGCAGGCAGCUUUGUCUGUUUCAUCCACUGCCGUAUCUCUGGAGCUCUAUGACAGUGCCUGGCAUGGACUAGGUACUCAAUAAGUAUCUGCUACAUAGGUAUCAAAUUAAUCCAGCCGAAUCAAUGAAAAUGAGUGAAUGGUUUAUAUAAGGUUUUGAGAAGAGAUGGAAAAAACACUGGGGCCUCUGCCAGCAUAGAAGCAUUAGCAGGCUGAGUGAGAAGGACAUGCCUGAGUGGACAAUGCCCCUGCUGGAGGCCGUGCUGCCACCGUCUGCCUGCGGCCUGCAGCCGGCUGGGGUUCCUCUGAGGAGCUCCCUGCAGAUGUUGCCUUCCUCACCUCAAAGGCCAUCCCCCAGCGCUGUUUAAUCAUUUACUGUCCUUUCUUUUCUUCAGGUGCCAGAGUUUGCAGCCUGUUGGGGAAAACCAACAUCAAGGUAAGAGAGCAGUAAGACUGUGAUUGGUUCAGACUUCCUGAACCUGGUGCUCCAAGUGUCAGCAGCCCAAUAAAAUGAAAGCCCGGGGACUUUUUCUGACUCCUGGACAGAGUGUGAACCUUGGGGGCAGGGGACUGCUCAGCAUUGUCAGCAGUGGCUGGGGGUCCUUAGAUCCUGUGUCUUAAUCUGUUUUCAACAGAGUAUGUGAGACUGGAUAAUUUAUUAAGAAGAAGCUUAUUUAGGCCCACAGUUCUGGAGUCCAAGAGCAGGGGCUGCACCUGGGAUGGAUCUGGUCCUUUGCUGUAGUGAGUGAGGUGGCCAGGACGGGAAGGGAGGUGAGCGUGAGGAACAGGAAGCCAGAGGAGCUGGGCUCACCUCGAACAACCUCUGCUGAUCACCUGUUGCAAGCCCCUCUUCCAGCACAAUGGCCCUCAGAUUUCCCCGGGUUCAGAGGAGACUAAGGGCAGCUCCGAGGGGGACAGUGCUUACCUUGGGAAAGCCCAGUGUGGGCCCACAGGACAGCGUCCUGCUCCUCUUUCCUGGUUCCCUCCAGGCCCCCUGCCUAGCACUCUGAAGCCACAGCAGCCUUGGCAGAGAGGAUCUAGGGUUGUUUUUGUUUGAAUUUAUUAGAAUCUUUCAAGCAUAGGAUUCUUCUGUACAAACUGUAAAAAGUGAAAAUGCUCAAUGAAUAAUGAAUGUGAGAGAAUGCACACGGCUAAUGUGAUUGGAAAAAGUUGGCUUUUAAAACUGUCUAGUCUUCCCAAGUUCGAUCCCUGGUACCAAAACAAACAAACAAACAAACAAAAAACUGUCUAGUCUGGGUAUGGCAACCCUAGUACUAGGAAGACUGAAGGUUUGAGUCUGGCCUGGGCAACUUAGGAGACCCUGUCUUAAAAUUUAAAGAGCUAGAUUUAGAAACUAUCUUGAAAACUUAUAUUCAAAUAAAUCAGAGAAUCUAGGAAAAGUAGAUAAAUUCCUAGGCACAUAUGACUUAACAAAAUUGAAUCAGAAAGGUACAAAAAUCCAGAACGGGGCCAGGGAUUUAGCUCAGUGGUGCUGGCGCCUGCCUCGAAGGUGCAAAGUCCUGAGCUCAAUCCCUGAUAACUCCCCCGCCCCCAAAAAAACUCAGAACAGUCCAAUAACAAGGAAUUAAAUUGAUGUGGUGUCUUAUUUUUUCUCAUUCCUGAGACAAAAUACUAGACACCCAAAGUUAAAAGAGAAAAGGUUUAUUUAGCUCACAGUUGGUAGAGGUUUCAGUCCAUACUCAGCAGGCUCCAAAGCAGAGAGGCAUCACAGAGGAGAAACAGUUCAUAGCAGGCAGAAGGCAACAAAGCAGUGAAGUAUUGGAGAAGAAGCAAGCAGCAAGCUUUGUGUCCCUUAUAUUUUAUCUAGGCUACCUGCCCUUAGGGUGGGUAGCACUCACACCUACCUCUGGCCUUCUCAUUAUCUACACUCAGGACUGACUAUAACCAAACCAAUCAGUGGACUAAUUAAGUAAUCACACACCCUUAAUCCCAGCAUCACACACCCUACAUCCAGCCACCUCUGAAAAUCCCCACCAGUGACCACAUGAGACUUUGGAGGAACAUCUACACAAGCCAUAACAUGCAGUAGUAAAAAAUUCUACCAAGAAAAGCUCAGGAUUUACCACUGAAUUUUAUCUGAACUUUAAAGAAUGACAGUACUCCUCAAACUUUUCCAUGUAAUUGAAAGGGAAGAAAUGCUUCCAAAUCCCAGCACUUGGGAAGCUGAGACAGGAGGAUCACCAUGAAUUGGAGGCCAUCCUGGGCUACAUAGUUUGGUGAUGUGGAAGCCAGCAUUACCCUGAUACCAAAAAAUUGGAUUAGGACUCCACAAAAAAAGAACCUACAGCCCAAUAUCCUUGAUGAACAUAGAUGCAAAAAUCCUCAAUAAGAGGGCUGGGGAUUUAACUCAGUGGUUUCGCUGCCUGCUGCGCAAGCGCAAGGACCCCAGUUUGAUCCCCAGUAGUGAAGGGGGCCAGAUAUUUACAGAGGGCUAGGGAUGUAACUCAGUGGCGACAUGCCUGCCUCGCAAGCGCAAGGUCCUCAGUUCGAUCCCCGGUACCAAAAAAAAAAAAAGAUAUUUACAAACUGAAUUCACGACUCAUUAAAAAGAUCACACAUGACGACCAAGUUGGCUUCAUCCCAGGGAUACAGGAUUAUUCAACACACAUAAAUCCAUAAAUAUAAUACAGUCCAUAAAGCCAAGAAUAAAGAUCACAUGAUCAUCUAAAAGGAUGCAGAAAAAGCCUUGACAAAAAUCCAACACUCUUUCAUGAUUAAAAAAAAAUACUCGGAUGAAAAUAGGUGUAAAUGAGGGCUUUACCUCAAAUUGAUACAACCCACCUAUGACAGACCCACAGCCAAUGUCAUAUUAAGUGGAGAAAACAAAGCUUUUUCUUAAAUGAAAGAGGAGCGGGUGUCCUGUGGAGACCAGAUGGGAAGAAGGAGGCCUAACUGGCCUGCUCGGAGAUCCCUGAGGAGAGAGAGGGCGUGUGAGCGUGCUCACACGCUGCAGGGGAAGUAAGAACACCUGAGGUUGAGGUGUUCACCCGGAGAAGCACCGUGGAGGGCGGAGACAGACAGAUGCGGCCUGUGGAACUCUAAUGGCUCUGACUGAGUUGAGCGAAUAAAGCCAACAUGCACCAGGCACUUGGGGCUCUAUGUGGAGGGGAGACAUGAGCCUCCUGGCACUCCAAAUUUUAACCUGUUUCUGUGUCUCCUUUUUUUUUUGGUGCCAGGGAUUGAACCCAGAUCCUUUUGCUUGCACAUCAGGCGGCGAAACCACUGAGCUAAAUCCCCAGCCCUGCGUCUCCUUAUUUUUCAUCCUCGUCACCCCUUGGUCAGGUUCAAGCUCAUAGGCUGGUUCCUACAGUGUCCACUCUCGACAGUCCUCCUCAGUGUUUGUGUACUGGAAACUUCAGUGAGAGCAAGCAGGUUUAAGAGAAAGCAAUAAAAGGGGUACGAAUAGGAAAGCAAGUUAAACAAUUCCUCUUUGCAGAUGAUAUAAUUAUUUACAUAGAAGACCCCCCAAAAAAACUCUAGUAGAGGAGUUUUAGACCUGAUAAACAAAUUCAGCAAAAUGCCAGGAUACAAAAUCAACAUACAAAUAGUGUUUCUAUACACCAAUAAUGAAUCCAUCAAGAAAGAAAUCAGGAAUUCAUUUCUGUUCAUGAUAGUUGUGGUGGAUUAACUAACGGUCAAGUUGGAAUGCUCAGCUGAACUGAAUCAGGGUGGUUCUGGGUGUGCAAGACCCACCUGAGGAUUGUUGCCAAUGGCAGAAAAAGAACUGGAGGGGAAGAUCGUGUGCUGUUGAUUUUUGGGGCACGGGGCAGGGUGGGGAGCUUACCGUGGCUGGUUUUCCUGAUGCAAACUUGGCUGCUCUCAUAGAAGGAGGUGCUUGGGGUCUCGCUGGCGCUGGGAAUGGCUACUGUUCUCAGCAGGAGAGCUCUGGUCUUUACCUGGAGAAUCACUUCCUGGCUCCAGUGCAGAUCCCUCAGCCUGGUGGCACUGAUCCUUCACCUCACCAGUUCAGGCUUUCUAGCUUCCAGUGGCCUUUGUGGCUUGCCGGUACAGAUCUCUGAUAUGGACAAGCAUGAGACACUGCCGUGGGCUCUAGGCCUUUAGCUGGGCCACUGCUGUGGGAUCCAGGCCAUCGGCUGGAUUCUUUGGGUUUCUAGUGUGUGUACAGAUCUCUUGUACUCCUCCACAUUUCAUUUUCUGGGUGAAUAUUAUAAAAUAAUCCUAUAAAUUAUAUGUCCUGUAUUAGACUACAAUAGUUUAAAAAAGACUAAAAAUACCAAGGAAUCAUCCUAACCAAGGAGGUAAAAGGUGUGUGUAAUGAAAAUUACAGAUCUUUGAAGAAAGUGCCAGGGAUGUAGCUCAGUGGUGUGGCGCCUGCCUGGCAAGCACAAGGUCCUGAGUUCGUCCCCCGGAAGGGGUGGGGGUAGAACAAUAUGUGAAAUAAACAUAUAUAUUGGGCCGGGAUAUAGCUCAGUGGCGCUGCCAAGGCCUGGCAAGCACAAGGUCCUGAGUUUGAUUCCCGGUGCCAGAAAAAAAAAAAAUUGAAGACAGUAGAAAAUGGGAACACAUCGGGCCGGGGAUUUAGCUCAGUGGUUUUGCCGCCUGCUGAGCAAGCACAAGGACCUGAGUUCGAUCCCUGGUACCAAAAAAAAAAAAAGAAAGAAAGAAAAUGGGUUGUUGGAUAGCCAGAAUUAACAUUGCUAAAAUGGCCAUAUUACCAAGUGCUCUAUAGAUUUAUACAAUCCCUGUUAAAAUAUAAACAACAUUCUUUACAGAACUACCAAAAACAAUUCUAAAAUUCAUAUGAAACCAGAAGAGACCGAGAAUAACCAAAGCAAUCCUGAGAAAAAAAUAAAAGUUGGAGACAUCGUAAUACCAGAUUUAAAGUUGUACUACAAAGCUAUAGUAAGAAAAACAACAUGCUCCUGGCCCAAAAGUAGACAUGUAGACCAGUGGAAUAGAACAGAAAAUACAGAAACACACUGGGGAUUUAGCUCAGUGGUGCCGAUGCCUGCCUCACAAGCACAAGAUCCAAAGUUCAAUCCCUAGUACCAAAAAAAAAGAUACAGAAACACCCUCAUACACCUACCACCAACAAUUUUUGACAAAGGGCCAAAACCAUAUGCUGCAGAAAAGACAUCCUCUUUAGCAAAUGGUGCUGAACCCAGGCAUGGUGGAGCAUGCCCAGCACUUGGGAGGCUGAGACAGGAGGAUCACCAUGAAUUCCAGGCCAGCCUGGGCUACAUAGGGAGUUCAAGACCAGCCUAAAGUACAUAGCAAGACUGUCUCAAAACAAACCAAUGGUAGGGCCAGGGAUGUAGCUCAGUGGCACCACACCUGGCUCCCAAGCACAAGGUUGUGAGUUCGAUCCCCAGGACCAAAAAAAUAAAAUAAAAUAAAUGGUGCUGGGAAAACAACUUACCUACAUGCAGAAGAUUGAAAUUAGAUCCCUGGGGGCCAGUGAUUUAGCUCAGUGGUUCCGCUGCCUGCCUCACAAGCACAAGGUCCCGAGUUCGAUCCCCAGCACAAAAAAAAGGAAAGACAAGAAACUAGAUCCCGGGGCCGGGGAUUUAGCUUAGUGGUUCUGCCACCUGCCUUGCAAGCGCAAGGUCUUGAGUUCAAUCCCCGUUACCCAAAAGAAAAAAAAAAGAAACUAGAUCCCAGUCUCUCAUCCUGUAUUAAAAUAAAAUCAAAAUCGAUCAUAGACCUAGAUAUAAAAACAGAAACUCUGAAACUGCUGAAAGAUAAAGGGGAAAAAAUUGAAGCCAUAGGCACAGGCAAAGACUUUCUUAACAGAAAACUCCAAUAGCACAGGAAGUAAUAUCAAGAGUCAACAAAUGAGAUUACAUCAAAUUAAAAGGCUUCUGCACAACAAAGGAAACAGUCAACAGAGUGAAAAGACAACCUACAGAAUGGGAAAAAAUUACAAGUUACUCCUCUGGUAAAAUCUAGACAAUAUAAAUAACUCAAAAAAUUAACCCCGAAAAACAAAUGACCCAAUCAAAAAAUGGGCAAAUGCACUGAAUAGACAUGUCUCAAAAGAAGUAUAAAUGGCCAGCAGGUACAUGGAAAAAUGUCCAUCAUCGUUAUCCAUUAGGGAAAUACAAAUCAAAACAAUUCUGAGAUUCCUCCUUACCCUGGUCAAAAUCCUAUCAUCGAGAACACAAACGCAAUAAAUCUUGGCGAGGAUAUGGGGAGAAAGGAAAUCCUCUACAUUGGUGGUGGGAAUGUAAUCUAAUGUAACCACUGUGCAAGCACAAGAGACUCAGUGUGGAGAUUCCUCAAAAAACUAAAAAUAGAAAUUCGAUUUGACCCAGCAAUACCUCUCCUGGGUAUCUUACCAAAAGAAUUAAGCACAUUAUGCUCAGAGAUACAUGUUUACUAAUUUUUAUAGCAGAUCAAUUCACAAUAGCUAAGCUCUGGAAACAGCCUAGAUGCCAGGCAACAGAUGAGUGGAUAAAGAAAAUGUGGUGUGGCAUAUAUACACAGUGGGACAUCAUUUACCCAUGAAGAACAAAAUCAUGUUAUUUGUAGGAAAAAGGGUGGGAUUUGAGAACAGAAAAUGAAGCAAAAUUAGACACUGCAAGUUAAAUAUUGCAUGCUUUCUCUCAUAUGAGAAAUCUAAAAUAUGAGUAAAUAAAUACAUGAAUGGGUAUAAUAAAGAAGUGAUGGUGGGAAAUAAGAAGGCAGACUUUUUGGAGAUGGGGAAAGGGAUCAGGGAGUGGGAGGAGACAAGGAGGGAAGGUAAGAAGAUUGGAAAGGACCAAGAUUUGUUAUAUGUAUGUGCCAGUUCGUCAACACAGAUAUCAUUAAAAGCACACACUAAUACUAAUAUCAAUAAAUAGGUUCAAUCUUCAGUAUCACAAAAAAGGUCUAACCUUUGACCAAACAAUUCUACUUUACUUUUUUAAGGAAAAUAAACAUAUUUUUGCUAAGGUGUAUGUGCAAAGAUAUUUAUAACUGUGUUGUUUAUAAUGCGGGGAGGCAAACAUCUGAAAGCCCAAUAAAUUGGUGAUUCAAAAAUUUUCACAUCUAUGCAAGGGUGUGUCGUGCAGUAGAAUGCUGUAGAGGUGUACUUGUCGAGAAAUGUAUUUAGAUAUAUUGUUUUUGAGCAAAGAAAAAGAAAAACAGAAAUCUUACAUCACAUACAAGGAAAGUAGCCUUAGACUCUGUAUGGGGAGUUACACAUGACCGAUCUCUUAGCCAGCCUGAGAAGAGGGCAAAAAAUGUGAUUUUCCCGAGCCUCUGUCUCCUGCCUGUAAAAUGGGCCUACCUCAAAAUUGGGAGGACGUGGUGACAGGAACACAGCACGGCCUGCAGUGUGCCAAGUGCUCAGCAGAUGAGGGCUCAGGGGGAACGUGGACCUAAAGAAUGCGUAUUUGUGUAGAAGCCUAGAGAUCAUCAGGGAAAGGGAUGUUUGGUUGGAUUUUUGGCUGAAGAAUUUUGAAUGGUAUUUAGUAUUUUAUUAUUUUUCUACAAGGAAUACAUACUAUUAAUGUAACGAUGGUAUACUUUUUUAAAAGUAAGUAACAGGCCAGGGAUUUAGCUCAGUGGUUCUGCCGCCUGCCUUGCAAGCGCAAGGUCCUGAGUUCAAUCCCCGGUACCAAAAAAAAAGUAAGUAACAACUGAAGAGGUUGGGGGUGCAGCACCUUUGCCUUUGGCAGGCCGGCCAGCUUUGUAGCCCUGGGACAGAGCUCUGGAGGGCUGAGAGAGAGGCAGGGCAGAGAGGGUAAAGGAAAGACAAUGGGUGAAGGGAGAGGUCAUUUUAUCAGGCCAGAAGGCUGGUGGCCAUGGAGAGCUAAGGCCCAUCUACCCCAGGCUGAGAUGACAAUGAGCACGCUCAGGCUUCUCCUGCUGAGACAACAUGGCGCUAGCACAUCUAGAGAGCAGCCUUGUGACUCCAGCCCUGAGCCUGACUCCUCACCCACCUUCAGUCAACCCAGCAUUUUACCUCUGUUGGGAGUUAGAAAAGCAAGGACUCCUACUGAAUUCCCAGAAGUAAUCUUAAAAGAAAUUAGCACCUCUCUAGAGCCAUGCAGACUCUUAAGAGACAUGUUCUGUCUCCUUGUUCCAGUUAUCUAUUGCCGUAUAGUUAUCAAAACUCUGUGGCCUAAAACAACUGCUGCACCACUUUAUUAUGCUGCACGUCAGGGACCCAGACAGGGCUCAGCUCAUCUCUAGUCUGCAGUAUCUGGGGCUAAGCCAGAAUGACUAGAAUGACUGAGGGUGACUGGAAUGGUGGCUGGGAGCUGGAGCAGCCGGGGCUGAAGGAUUCAUCCAAGAUGGUUUACUCACUGGGCCAAGAUCGCUGGAAGGCUGGGUUCAGCUGCGCCGUUGACCAGAGAGCACACACGGCCUGCCUAGCACAGUGGCCAGGCUGCUGAACUCAUGUGGUAUAGCUCAGAUCUCCAGGGGCAAGUGUUCUGGCCAGUAAGAUGGAAGCUACACAAGGUUCUAUGGCCUGGUUUUGGAAGUCAUGCAGCAUCACUUCCACUUUAGUCACAAAAAGGCCAGACUGAAGGAAGAAGACAGACCCUCAUCUCAGUGAGAGAAGUGUUGAAGAACUGGCGGCCCUGUUUAAAUUUAAUAGGGUGGUAUAGGUCUAGGGCAGUUCAAGUGGAGGCAAGGGGGUGGGACAUUGACUCCUACUGUUCAGGCUCCACACUUGAUUCUCUUCCUGUUUUCACCCCUCCAUUCACUUACCCUCCUGCCAGCCCAUGUGCCACUGCAUGCAGGGGCGGGACCUGGGAAGGAUUUCAACCACUUUUCCUGGUCCCUUAACCCCACUGGCCCCUGCACCUGACCCUACCACCCACAAUACCUAGUCUCCCAGUCUGAGCUCCUCUGGGGUUCUCGGGGUGAAGCCUUGCAUCUGUGUGCCCCUCCGCCCUGGGGGACUGGCUUGGCUGUGUCAGCCAUGGCCCCUCCAUCUACUCUCUCCGGCAGCCAGGAGUCUGGAGAUUCCUCUACCACUCACGUCCCCUCUCCCAAGCUCCGGGCCUCUGAGGGUUUAUACCAUCUGACUUCUUGGCUGGAGUUUUAGUGCUGCUGCAGGACAUGAACAACCUGGCGUGUCGGCUGGAAGCCUGUUGUACCUCUUAUGGAUGAAUACAUCUCUAAUUUGGUUACAGUCCUUUCAGCCCUGUAAAAGUACAGUGUUAAGUAGCACAGUGGCCACACCUCUCACUGACAAGUCAGGGUCAUCUUCAUGAACAUACAUGCUUACCUUGGAAUGGUCAAACCAGGGAGAGUCUCGGUCUCCAUGCUGCGGACCUGGUCACUGCGUUGGGAUUCUUGAGACCUUUCUUCUGGCUAUCUCUGGCUCUGGCUGCCUCUCAUCCCAUGAUCCCAUGUACCUGUUGAGGAGACACGUGGUACCAAGUUAACUUCUGACUCAUUAUCUUAGCGUGGCUAAGCCAGAGGACCAGGCCCAGCAGCCCUUGUCAUCUCCCGCCCAGUCCUGUGCCUGUCAGCUUUCUGCCCUCCCCCACUCCUCCCAGGUUUUGACCUUGGCGGAGCGCAUGAGCCACAAUCGUGUCCUCAGGUUUUCUCCUGGGUCUGGCCAGUUGAGAAUCUUGCCACGACUGGAGGGUGGAAGAGACUGGUCUUGGGGCACUUAAUACCCCAGCUCCUCCCCUCGCUAGGCUUCGGGUCUGCAGCGUCUGUAUUCUUCACCCUCAAACCACAACCUCUGCCAGGCGCCCUUUCCAGCCUUAACCUCUGUGCUCCUCCGCCAGAGCAUCACCGUCACCGCUUCCUGCUGCUGGGCCUUGGCGCAUGGAUUUCUCUUCCCGCCUACCCAUUGUAAACAGUCCCGUCCCUAAACUCUCCUCCUGACCUGAGGGGUGUGCAUCUGUUUCCUGCUGAGACUCUGACCAGUAGGAAGGCUUUUCUGAUCUGAAUGUAACAUAAGACCCUCCUAGGGGUCCUGGGUGUGAGCUUUGGGACCACUCUAGGCCACACGGGCUUUUUUUGGUCGCCAUUCACAUCCUAGUUCUUAACUGUAAUACGGGUAAUAGAGGGCUCUGGAUUAGUGAGUUUUUAUUAGAGUGUUUUAAAAAGGAAAAUAGGUAUGUAAAUAAAGGGAAAAUAGGACAGAAUUUAUGACUUCCUGAAGUUGUAUGGCAAGAAAACACCCACAGUUUUAGAAGAGGUUUCAGCGCCAUCCUGGACCACGGACCCUUGCUGGGUCUGCAAGCUGAGUUGAAUUUUGGGGGACAGCCAGGCAGUGUCUGGGCGGGCUUCCUCCACACCUCAAGGGGAAGUGCCGCAGGUGGACCUGCCUUACCUACGUGGCUCCCAGUCAGUUUUGUUUACUUUUAUUCUAUUCAUUCAUUCAUUUAUUUAUUUUUGUGGUACUGGGGACUGAACCCAGGACCUUCUCAUUGAGCUGCUUCUUUUUGUGUGUGUGGUACCGGGAAUAGAACUCGGGUCCCUGCACCUGUGCAGCAGGCGGCGAAACCAGAGCUAAAUCCCUGGCCCUUGUUUUGUUUUUUGAGCCAAGGUCUCACUGUGUAGUUCAACUGGCCUCACUAUGUAAUACAGGCUGGCCUCAAACUCACACAGUCCUCCUGCCUCAGCCUCCCAAGUGGUGGGAUUACAGGUAUUCGCUACAAUGCCUGGCAUAAGCUUAAUUAUUUUCUUUAUUUCGAGACAGAGUCCUCACUAAGUUGCCCAGGCUGGGUUUGAAAUUGCAUUUCUCCUGCCUCAGCCUUGCAGAGUGCUGGGAUUAAAUGAGCUGCCACCACACCCAGCAAGUUUGGCCCUUUGAGACUUUUGCUCUGAGGAGGGUCGUGUACGGGUCUGUCCACUGGCAUGAGGUCACACUAGAGCCCAGAGUGGCCCAGGCCUUGUCCACAUGUCACACCAAGCUCCCCUGUGCUCGGCUUCAAGUCCAGCCUGCACCACUCUGCAGUCACGCCUUGGAUUUUUUUCCCUCCUCUCUGUCCUGGCACCCGUCAGCCCUCAUUUUUCUCUAAUUUCUAUAACUCUUCUAAGCACGCAUAUCUCUGUGGGAAAAAACAAAACAAAGCAAAAUCAAGAACCUCUUCAGGCCACUCACUUCCUGAAGCUCAAAAAAGAAACAUUUCAUAAACGCUGCUUUAAAAAGACAACAGGAAGGGGUAGUGUCACUCUGGCUGGAAAAGCUUGUCAUUGUGGCAUUUCCCACACGAGGCAAGGUGGAGCAUGGAGGUGACAUGCCACACAUGUUUGGCUCAGCCAGACCCCUCCAGCCCACUCCUGCAGAGCUCUGGGCCCUCAGCACUAGGCUGAAGGAAGGGUCCCAGAGGAACAGGGAGGAGACGGCCAGGGAGGUGGAAGGUUGCAGCUUCAGCAGAGAGAGAUGCUUUUACACUCCUGCCUUAGCCAUGCUGCUUUGACCUCUUGGGAUGUUGAAAAACUUAGCUACUCUCAGGGCUGGGGACUUAGCUCGGUGGUUCUGGUGCCUGCUGCACAAGUGCAAGGUCCCGAGUUCGAUCCUGGGCACCAAAAAAAACCUUAGCUACCCUCGAGUGGUACACCUGCUACCAGAUUAGCUUGUCCUCCUGCAGCCCACACUGCUCAGAGUCCUUAACCAAGUGAGCCCAACCGAGGUGCCCAGCGUCCCUGUCCAGCAGGAGUGCAGGCUGGGCCAGGCUGAGACACCACACUGCAAGGUAGAUAUGCAGGGCCAGCGCCAGAAGACCAGCCUGCAGCUCAGUCCAUCCACUGGGGACAGCAGGGCCCCAGAGGGCGAGAGGAUGCUGGCUCGGGCCUUGCCACAGCAGCAAGUUCAUGGUCCAUUUCUGUCAAAGUGCUGUUGAAGUGAGCACAUGGUCCAUGUUUCUGGAAGGGCAGAUGGCGCCGUGUGUGAGCCUGUGUCCUGCGUUACCCUGUCUAGGCUGCCUGCAGUUUGAUGAGAGUAUGCUAGAAGUCGGCCAUGGCCAGGGAGGUGGCCAUCCUGUACACGGAAUAGGAAGUUCUCAGCCGCACACUGAGAGGCAAGCAGGGCGUUGCAAAUUCCUAAUCUGGACACAGAGGCCAAGGAGCAAGGACAUGGUCUGGAGCCCAGAGCUGGCUGCUACCCUGAGUCAGAGCUCCCCACCCUACCCGGCUUGAAAGAAGUGCCUCUGCCUGGCCGGCAGCCCUGGGAAACCCAGCUGCCACCUCUCUUCUGCAGAGGAAGAAACAUUACAGCAGCCUGCCGCAACACCACCUCUGCCCAGACCCUGGCAGACCCUGGCAUCCUGUUGCUCUCGGCUGGGCUGGCUUCUGUCAGGUCCUCUUGAGGCCUAUGAGUGGAUCUGCUCUUCCAGUACCUUCACUCCUGGCUGCACAUACCAAUCAUCUGGGAAAUUAGAAAAUAGCGAUGCCUGAACCUGGACCUCACCCCCACCCCAAAGAUUCUGCUUAAGUUGAUGUGGGUUUCAAAUAACUUUUAAAAUAAAGUUUUUAUCAAAGGCUAACACACACAUCAAUUUUUGGUUUGGUUUGGUUUGGUUUGGUUUGGUACCGGGAACCUUACGCUUGCAAGGCAGGUGGUAGAACCACUGAGCUAAAUCCCCAACCCCACAUCAAUUUUUUAAAAAGCACAAACCAUAUGUGUAAAGCUGGGUGAAUUUUCACAAAGUGAACUUAACCCAAGGAACUGGGAUCCAGAUUAAUAAGGAGCAUCCCCAGCCCCAGUGGGGUCCUCUUCCAGUCACUGUGGGCUCCAAAGUUCUCUCUAACCACGGCUCUGGUUUCUAUUGGUAUCAAUUGCUUCUGCCUGUUUUCAGACAGUACAUAAGAGUUACAUGGUACAUGUUCUUUCUUCUCUGGCCUCUUCCACUCAUCGUUAUGUUAUGAGAUGACUCACCUCAUUGCUUAUGCUUGUUGUGGUUUGUUCGCUCUUAUUACCAUAGAUCACUGAUGGCAAGCCUUUCCAAGCUGUUAGUAAUACAAACAGCCCACUACGGCACGUGUGCCAUAGGUUCGCUACCACUGCCUUAAAAGAGUAUCCUACUGUGUAGAUUUUCCUCAGUUUAUCCAUUCUACUACUGAUGGAUGUUUGAAUUGUUGUUUCCAGUUUGGAGCUGUUACGACUGCUACUGCUGUAAAUAUUCUAGUGUGUGCCUUUAGGAGCACAUUCUACAUUUCUUUUUUUUUUUUUUUUUUGGUACCGGGGAUCAAACUCAGGACCUUGAGGUUUCAAGGCAGGUUUCAGAACCCCUGAGCUAAAUCCCAAGCCCAUUAUACAUUUGUCUUGGGUACAGACCUAAGAGUGGAAUAGCUAGGUAAGUAUGGUUGUGUCCUCAGCCUAAGUAACUUUUUUUUUUUGGUACCGGAGAUCGAACUCGGGUCCUUGCGCUUGCGAGGCAGGCGACGGAACCACUGGGCUAAAUCUCCAGCAAGCCUAAGUAACUUAUACCAAAUAAUUUUCCAAAGUGCUUACCAAUUUACACUCGUUCCAGCAAUGUGUCGGAGUUCUGGUUGUGUCACAUCUUUGUCAACAAUUAGUAUUUUCUUUUUUACACAUUAGCCGUUCUAGUGGGUGUUUGGUGGCAUCACAAUCACAGCUGGUUUUAAUUUGCAUUUCCCUGAGGACUAAUACAGUUGAGCACCUUUUCAUAAGUUCAUCGGCCAUUUAGGGCAUCUCUUUGGAAAUGUCUAUUACAUUUUGGGUAAGAGUGGGUUUUGUUAAAGCUCCUUAGGUAACUAUACUGUGCAGCCAAGGUUGAAAACCACUGAACUUGGGCUGAGGAUUUAGCUCAGUGGUUCCAGCGCCUGCCUCGAAAGCGCAAGGACCCGAGUUUGAUCCCCGGUACCAAAAACAAAACAAAAAAAACCCACCACUGAACUAAAGCACAAAUUAGAAUCUGCCAGUUCCUUUCUCAAUUUCCAUCCCUUGAAUUUAGAGUUUGGAUCUGAGGGAUCACAUGGACUUGGAGAGAGAGAAUCUUCACACACCUAC